rnacentral:rRNA from 1 species
UCCUACGGGGGGCAGCAGUGGGGAAUAUUGGGCAAUGGGCGCAAGCCUGACCCAGCAACGCCGCGUGAAGGAAGAAGGCCCUCGGGUUGUAAACUUCUUUUAACAGGGACGAAGAAAGUGACGGUACCUGUUGAAUAAGCCACGGCUAACUACGUGCCAGCAGCCGCGGUAAUACGUAGGUGGCAAGCGUUAUCCGGAUUUACUGGGUGUAAAGGGCGUGUAGGCGGGAGAGCAAGUCAGACGUGAAAUUC